GCGCACGUGGCGGAAUUGGUAGACGCGCUAGGUUGAGGGCCUAGUGGCCGUUUUAGGCCGUGGAAGUUCGAGUCUUCUCGUGCGCACCA
rnacentral:tRNA from 2 species